rnacentral:rRNA from 1 species
UACGAAGGGUGCAAGCGUUAAUCGGAAUUACUGGACGUAAAGCGCGCGUAGGUGGUUCAGUAAGUUGGAAGUGAAAUCCCCGGGCUCAACCUGGGAACUGCUUUCAAAACUGCUGAGCUAGAGUACGGUAGAGGGUGGUGGAAUUUCCUGUGUAGCGGUGAAAUGCGUAGAUAUAGGAAGGAACACCAGUGGCGAAGGCGACCACCUGGACUGAUACUGACACUGAGGUGCGAAAGCAUGGGGAGCAAACAGG